rnacentral:lncRNA from 1 species
UGAAUGUCAGGAGUCAAGGCGAGCGCCGUGAACUGCAAUCCCGUCUGGAAGUCUCACCUUUCCCAGGUCCGCAGCCACAAAGCUGGGUCAAGUACCCUGGAAGUGAACUUUAUGCAGCGUGCGGUUUGACUCUGCUGUGCCAGCUGGAAUACACCUUUAGGAGCUGCAUAGUCAGGAAUGUGUUAUGGAGAACAUAAUUAGCACUGCCAAUGGACCAGCAAUGAGAUUGCAUCUCUGUGUGUGUGUGGAGAAACAAAGAAUCACUUUUGGGUAAGGAAAUAGAUUUUAGUUUCAAAUUACACAGGGACUGUUUGAAACCCGAAGGACAGGAAUUGUUAAAAUAUGAAAUGUAUUUGGUAAUAUCAUUUGAUAAUAGGGUUUUCGGUUUCUCUUUUCAUCUCUGCCAUCUUCCCUGUCUCCUCUCCCCUGCUCAUCAGUUUAGGAGAAUCACAGUGAGACACAACGUGCUGGGCAGCUCUUUUGGCCACCAGAAUUGUUGUUUAGUUGGCAUAUCAGCACUUACAUAUGUGAUUGUCAUCUUCAAAGAGGAAACCCUGGCAGGCCCUGUCCACAAGCAACGUCCCUGUUUUUGGGAGUUUCCUUCAUUCUCGUGAGGAGAGUCGCUAACAGUGAGUUACUGCCACUUGCCAGGUGGGUUUGACGAGUGGUCGAGGGCAUGGUUAGGAUUCUGUUGUC